UAAGACGUUUGCAGAACUCUCUGUCAUCCCUGGAUGACACAGAGCAACCAACAAUAAUGCAAAAUCAAUUGUGACCUACCAAAGAAUGCACUCCCCCUCUGCCUAGGUAGCCUUCAAAUUUACUUGUGCAGCAAAGCCAAGUGCCACUGUGAGGAGGAAAAUGAAGGAGAGUUAUGACUAGGACACAGCCAAUCCAUGGAAGAUUUAACAGCUAAAAUGAAGGAUUAAUCCCAGAAGUGAUUGCACAGCUGUACUGUCCAACAAAGAAGAGUCACUUGGGACAGAAACUCCUUGCUAGGUUUUCUCCGGGCUGCUUCUCCACUUUGGGAAAGGUGAAUUUCCCUACCCAUCCCACCACAUCCAGCAGUGCCCAAUACCAGACCUGGACCAUGGAAAUACAAUCCUGCCACUCAGUGCACUGUCAGGUCUCAAACUACAGGAAUACUGAAGAUGUAAAACUUGUGGAUCCAAAGCAUUAAACUGAAUAACUCAAAGGAU